GAUGAACGCUGGCGGCGUGCCUAACACAUGCAAGUCGAGCGGACAGACAAUUAGCUUUUUCUCCUAACGGUGGCGGCUGACGGAUGGGUGACACGUAGAUAACCUUCUUAUAAUACUUGGAUAACUACGUGGAACCGGAUCUACUACCGGCUCAUAUAUCGAACCGCAGGGAUCAAUAGUUCUUGGCAGCUUUGCUGUCAGCAAUAGAUGUUUUCGCGCCGCAUUAGCUAGUUGGUAAGGUAACGGCUUACCAAGGCAACGAUGCGUAGCCGAACUGAGAGGGUGAUCGGCCACACUGGAACUGAGACACGGUCCAGACUCCUACGGGAGGCAGCAGUAGGGAAUAUUCGGCAAUGGGCGAAAGCCUGACGGAGCAACGCCGCGUGAGUGAAGAAGGUCUUCGGAUCGUAAAACUCUGUUAUUAGGAAAGAAAAAAUGUGUAAGUAACUAUGCACGUCUUGACGGUACCUAAUCAGAAAGCAACGGCUAACUACGUG
rnacentral:rRNA from 1 species